rnacentral:rRNA from 1 species
GCCUUGACAUCCCGAUGACCGGCGUGUAAUGRCGCCUUUUCUUCGGAACAUUGGAGACAGGUGGUGCAUGGUUGUCGUCAGCUCGUGUCGUGAGAUGUUGGGUUAAGUCCCGCAACGAGCGCAACCCUUAUCUUCAGUAGCCAGCAAUUCGGUUGGGCACUCUGGAGAGACUGCCAGGGAGAACCUGGAGGAAGGUGGGGAUGACGUCAAAUCAUCAUGCCCCUUAUGGCCAGGGCUACACACGUGCUACAAUGGCGUAAACAAAGGGAAGCGAGCAUGUGAGUGUGAGCAAAUCUCAAAAAUAACGUCUCAGUUCGGAUUGUAGUCUGCAACUCGACUACAUGAAGCUGGAAUCGCUAGUAAUCGCGGAUCAGCAUGC